AACAUCACCCAUCACCAAAAAAGCAACAUCUUCAUCUGUAGAAAUAAAAACAGCAGGUUGCCCAGUGCUCUCCUCUUCUGUUUCCAGUGUCGAAAGCAGUGUUGCAAGCAGCCAUAGGCCUACAGCAUCCAGAAAAAUAGAGACUGCCAGAGAGGCCUCCAGACCCAAAGCUCCUUAGACGCCACAUUGGUACCCAGCCUCCAUGCCUUGUAAACAGAAUUGCAAUUUCUUUCCAUCUCCUGCCUAACACAUUCUGCAAAACCAAAUAUAGCCGCCUAUUUCCAGCUCCCCAGCUCUAACGCAUAUCCUCCCCCUCAGCUGCCUUGCAAAGGGGGCAUCUAAUCUGCUUUCUUCUUCACCACUCGACAGUGUGA
ensembl:lncRNA